GAUGAACGCUGGCGGCGUGCCUAAUACAUGCAAGUCGAGCGAACAGACGAGGAGCUUGCUCCUCUGACGUUAGCGGCGGACGGGUGAGUAACACGUGGAUAACCUACCUAUAAGACUGGGAUAACUUCGGGAAACCGGAGCUAAUACCGGAUAAUAUAUUGAACCGCAUGGUUCAAUAGUGAAAGACGGUUUUGCUGUCACUUAUAGAUGGAUCCGCGCCGCAUUAGCUAGUUGGUAAGGUAACGGCUUACCAAGGCAACGAUGCGUAGCCGACCUGAGAGAGUGAUCGGCCACACUGGAACUGAGACACGGUCCAGACUCCUACGGGAGGCAGCAGUAGGGAAUCUUCCGCAGUGGGCGAAAGCUUGACGGAGCAACGCCGCGUGAGUGAUGAAGGUCUUCGGAUCGUAAAACUCUGUUAUUAGGGAAGAACAAAUGUGUAAGUAACUAUGCACGUCUUGACGGUACCUAAUCAGAAAGCCACGGCUAACUACGUG
rnacentral:rRNA from 1 species